GAUGAACGCUAGCGGCAGGCUUAAUACAUGCAAGUCGAGGGGCAGCAUGACUGUAGCAAUACAGUUGAUGGCGACCGGCAAACGGGUGCGGAACACGUACAGAACCUUCCUUCGAGCGGGGAAUAGCCCAGAGAAAUUUGGAUUAAUACCCCAUAGUACAACGGAGUGGCAUCACUUUGUUGUUAAAGAUUUAUCACUUGAAGAUGGCUGUGCGGCUGAUUAGGUAGUUGGCGGGGUAACGGCCCACCAAGCCUGCGAUCAGUAACUGGUGUGAGAGCACGACCAGUCACACGGGCACUGAGACACGGGCCCGACUCCUGCGGGAGGCAGCAAUAAGGAAUAUUGGUCAAUGGACGAAAGUCUGAACCAGCCAUGCCGCGUGGAGGAUGAAGGUCCUCUGGAUUGUAAACUUCUUUUAUAUGGGACGAAACCCGGAUUUUCUAAUUCGGUUGACGGUACCAGAUGAAUAAGCACCGGCUAACUCCGUGCCAGCCGCCGCCGUAAUAC
rnacentral:rRNA from 1 species